AGAUGACAGGAGCAGGUUAAUAGCCUGAUAUAGACAGUGAUGGUGUAGAGAUGACAGGUUAAAGCCUGAUAUAGACAGUGAUGGUGUAGAGAUGACAGGAGCAGGUUAAAGCCUGAUAUAGACAGUGAUGGUGUAGAGAUGACAGGUUAACAGCCUGAUAUAGACAGUGAUGGUGUAGAGAUGACAGGAGCAGGUUAAAGCCUGAUAUAGACAGUGAUGGUGUAGAGAUGACAGGAGCAGGUUAAAGCCUGAUAUAGACAGUGAUGGUGUAGAGAUGACAGGAGCAGGUUAAAGCCUGAUAUAGACAGUGAUGGUGUAGAGAUGACAGGAGCAGGUUAAAGCCUGAUAUAGACAGUGAUGGUGCAGAGAUGACAGGUUAACAGCCUGAUAUAGACAGUGAUGGUGUAGAGAUGAC